AUUGAACGCUGGCGGCGUGCUUAACACAUGCAAGUCGAUCGGUAACGCGGGGGCAACCCUGGCGACGAGAGGCGGACGGGUGAGGAACGCUUGGGAAUCUGCCCUUCAGCGGGGGACAACACGGGGAAACUCGUGCUAAUACCGCAUACGCUCCACGGAGGAAAGCCGGGGACCGCAAGGCCUGGCACUGAAGGAUGAGCCCAAGUCGGAUUAGCUAGUUGGCGGGGUAACGGCCCACCAAGGCGACGAUCCGUAGCUGGUCUGAGAGGACGAUCAGCCACACUGGGACUGAGACACGGCCCAGACUCCUACGGGAGGCAGCAGUGGGGAAUAUUGGACAAUGGGGGAAACCCUGAUCCAGCGACGCCGCGUGGGUGAAGAAGGCCUGCGGGUUGUAAAGCCCUUUCGGUAGGGACGAAAGCUCUCGACCUAACACGUCGGGAGGUUGACUUAACCUACAAAAGAAGCACCGGCUAACUCUGUGCCAGCCGCCGCGGUAAAAC
rnacentral:rRNA from 1 species